GCUGGACGUGGUGGCGGGCGCCUGUAGUCCCAGCUACUUGGGAGGCUGAGGCAGGAGAAUUGCUUGAACCCGGGAGGCAGAGCUUGCAGUGAGCCGAGAUUGUGCCACUGCACUCCAACCCUGGCAACAGAGCAAGACUCUGUNNNNNNNNNNUCACCCAGGCUGGAGUGCAGUGGCACGAUCUUAGCUCACUGCAAGCUCUGCCUCCCGGGUUCAUGCCAUUCUCCUGCCUCAG
rnacentral:SRP_RNA from 1 species